GGUAUUGAAAUAAGAUUUUAAAUGAGUGCUAAGAGAAUGAUUAAACAAUUAAAAGCUUUCUUUAAUUAAAUAAUUAAAUUUAAUUUUUUUAGUGCAAAAGCAAAAAUAAAAUUUAGGGACAAGAAGACCCUAUGAAUUUUUAUUGUUAAUAAUUAAAUUUUAAAUUAUUAAUAAUUUAAUUGGGGCGAUAAAAAAAGAAUAAGUAUCUUUUUAGUUAUAAAAUAAGUUCCGUUUUUAGCGAUUAAAUGAAAUAAAUACUCUAGGGAUAACAGCGUAAUAAUUUUGGAUAGUUCAUAUAGAUAAAAUAGUUUGCGACCUCGAUGUUGGAUUAGGAUUCUUUUUUGGUGAAGAA
rnacentral:rRNA from 1 species